rnacentral:lncRNA from 1 species
AACUCCUCCUAGCUAAGGCCUGCGCUGGAAGCAGAAACUGAGUUCUCUUGGCCUGCCGCGAGGAAACCCGCGUCCUGCCCCCACCCAAGGUGGGUAUCUGGGAUCCCUACACACCAGGAGUCAGGUCCCGAGGCCCAGCAGGAGUGAAAUCCCCAGGGCCUGUGAACGUGGCUCUCUCAAAGCCACGGCCUGCCGGGCCUGCAUUCCCGCCGGCGCCCCCGCCCUGACGCUCCGCAGCAAGCGGGGCUAUUUCCGGCUCCCCCAACGCGGUCUGGUUUUCCAGCCUGGGAGUGGCUGGAGGGGGAGCCGCCCCAGAGCUAGAGCCGCUCCCUGCCCUGCCCGGAGCCCCAGUGGCCCUGAGCGCCUUGUUACCUGAUCUUUUGUGUGAUGUAUGUGUCGCAAGGAAAUUUGCAGUGACUUUGGAGCCCAGACUGAGGAAGCGGAGGUGGCGAAAGGAGAGACAAUACGAGCCCGAAGUACAAUUAAGGGGCCAGAGCCGCUCGUCUCUCCCCCGCCCUCCCUGCCCGACUGCGAGCUGUCUGGCCUCAAACCUCAGGGCGACACGCGAACCUGGAGCCGGAAACUCAGCCCGUGGCAGAGGGAGUCAGAGGACUCUGCAUCCAGAAAACAGAAGCAAAGCGCCCUUCCAACUUGGGGACGCCUUAACCAGCCCCUCUCAGUUGCAGAUAACCCAAUGAAUGAAAGUGCAAAUUCCGCCGUUUUUCCCGAUUUUUUUUCCAGCCUUGGGAAGGAGAGCUCAGGGUUUGGGGCGUCUCAGACAGAAAGGCAAACCGCAUCUCCUGAGGCAGACAGACCCACAACAUGAGUGUGAGCCUGAGAUCACAUACAGGUUCAACAUUUCCCGAGGCCUCUUUGCCAGGCCCGGCGGGCGCCGAUCUCCCUACCUUCUCUCCCUCCAGGGCCUCAGGCAGAGAGACCCAGAAGACUCUGUCCCUCUGGUUUGGUCCAAUCCCGCUUCGGAAGCGCCUUCGUUACCUGGUCCUUCGCUCCCCACGGCCAUAGAUACAGGACAGGCGGCUCCCGCCUGGGGAGGGAAGCCCCGGCCACCACGGCCGCCGCCGCCCGCCCUCCUUCCCUCCCUCCCUCCUUCUCGCCCUCCCUCUCUCUCCCUCCCUCGCGCGCUGCCGCUCGCGGGGCCCUCCCGCGGGCAACCUGGUCUGGACCAAAUCCAGGUAUAUCCGAAAGAGAGAAAAAAGAAAGGACCUUUUACGCGGAAAAGAAAAGACAGAAAGACCUUCCAUUGCAUUUAUUUUUCAUGCUGUGACCAUUGGUCGGCCUCAGUUCAGACGUCCCGGACACGGCCCGGCAGCUGCAGAGGCGUGCAGGGCCUGCAGCCUCUCCCACGCUGACCGCCGCGCCCCGCGCGCCGCUUGCUCCACACUCUGGGCCGCCGCCCCCAGGGCAGCCCAAACACCCAGCAGACCUCAAGGUCCUUUCUAUAGACUCAACAUGCGGUUGCCCGCCUCGCCGCCGGCCACAGCCCGGGAGCCCGCUCUGCUCUGUCUGCGGCCAAAGUCCAUACACAAUCCACCUUGCCGGUGCUCUCGCACCCUGCCCGAACACCCCUUCUGGCCACGCAGCCGUCCGGGCCACACUCGUGCUGCGGUCCAGCCCAGGACUUCGAACCUCGCCCCCUGCACGACCCACACAAAGCCCUGAGCCCUGGCGUUCCCACCCGAAGCCCCCAGUCCCCGCUGCCGCCGUCUUCUUCACCUGUUCUCGGGAAGGGCUGCAUCUCCGAGCCGAAGUCAGGCCGUGGGCCGGGGCGAGGUCCCAGAGAGGCCACAGCGGAUCUGCCAGGCUGAGCCGGAGCCCCAGCAGCCGACGAGAGAUCUCAGAGACCAAGGCUCGCCUUGGCGAGCUCUUGCCUUUUCUUCCUCCCGCAAGUCUCAAACAUUCAUACACUGAGAGUUCAGCUCUAUAAAUCCUGCUCCUCUUUCCCAUAUCAUAAUUAAAAAAAAAACAGUAGGGGAGGUUUUAACUUUUAUUGCGAUUUCUGGAGUUGGGCUGCGGAGCAUAUAUUAAGUUUACGCUUAUGCGCUCUCGGCGGGGAGGGUCCUUUAAGAAAUAAAAAUCCAUCUUAAUAUCCAC